rnacentral:rRNA from 1 species
UACAGAGGGGGCAAGCGUUGUUCGGAAUUACUGGGCGUAAAGGGCGCGUAGGCGGCCUGCUAAGUCGAACGUGAAAUCCCCGGGCUCAACCCGGGAACUGCGUCCGAUACUGGCAGGCUUGAAUCCGGGAGAGGGAUGUGGAAUUCCAGGUGUAGCGGUGAAAUGCGUAGAUAUCUGGAGGAACACCGGUGGCGAAGGCAGGUCUCUGGGCCAUAACUGACGCUGAGAAGCGAAAGCAUGGGGAGCGAACAGG